rnacentral:tRNA from 1 species
UCCUCUAUGGCAGACCAAUGCACUAAGUUUAAGCCUUAGCUACCUACUUUAC